rnacentral:rRNA from 1 species
CCUACGGGUGGCAGCAGUGAGGAAUAUUGGUCAAUGGGCGCGAGCCUGAACCAGCCAAGUAGCGUGAAGGCUGACUGCCCUACGGGUUGUACACUUCUUUUAUAAAGGAAUCAAGUGAGGAACGUGUGCCUUUUUGUAUGUACUUUAUGCAUAAGGAUCGGCUAACUCCGUGCCAGCAGCCGCGGUAAUACGGAGGAUCCGAGCGUUAUCCGGAUUUAUUGGGUUUAAAGGGAGCGUAGAUGGGUUGUUAAGUCAGUUGUGAAAGUUUGCGGCUCAACCGUAAAAUUGCAAUUGAUACUGGCAGUCUUGAGUACAGUUGAGGUAGGCGGAAUUCGUGGUGUAGCGGUGAAAUGCUUAGAUAUCACGAAGAACUCCGAUUGCGAAGGCAGCUUACUAAACUGCCACUGACAUUGAUGCUCGAAAGUGUGGGUAUCAAACAGGAGUAGAGACCCCUGUAGUC